GGAGUCUAGCAUGUGCGCGAGUCAUUGGGACUCUACGAAACCUAAAGGCGAAAUGAAAGUGAAGGCGCGCCUUGCGCGCGCCGAGGGAGGAUGGGCCGCCUCUCGUUCGAAGCGGCCUCGCACUCCCGGGGCGUCUCAUUCUCAUCGCGAGAAGAGGCGCACCCAGAGCGUACACGCUGGGACCCGAAAGAUGGUGAACUAUGCCUGGUCAGGACGAAGUCAGGGGAAACCCUGAUGGAGGUCCGUAGCGAUUCUGACGUGCAAAUCGAUCGUCGGAACUGGGUAUAGGGGCGAAAGACCAAUCGAACGAUCUAGUAGCUGGUUCCCUCCGAAGUUUCCCUCAGGAUAGCUGGCGCUCGCCUUGCGAGUCUCAUCCGGUAAAGCGAAUGAUUAGAGGCAUUGGGGUCGAAACGGCCUCAACCUAUUCUCAAACUUUAAAUGGGUGAGAUCUCCGGCUUGCUCGAAUCGUGAAGCCGCGAGAUCGGAUCAGAGUGCCAAGUGGGCCACUUUUGGUAAGCAGAACUGGCGCUGUGGGAUGAACCAAACGCAGAGUUAAAGCGCCUAAAUCGACGCUUAUGGGAUACCAUGAAAGGCGUUGGUAACUUAAGACAUCAGGACGGUGGCCAUGGAA
rnacentral:rRNA from 1 species